UCAACUACAAAUCAGGAGCCAUGUUAGUAUGCAAAUAAUAUUAUAGAAGUUUUUGUUGGGGAAAUCUAGCAAUAUGUGGUUUAGCUAGGGUGGUGAUUGGCAUGCUGUUUGUAUAAAGAGACUAUAUAGAGAGAGAAAUUAGAAAGAGAAUGUGGAGAUAUAUUAGAGAGUGAAAGUAGAGAGAAGAGAGAGAUAGUGGAGAGAAAUUAUCUAUAGAAAA
rnacentral:lncRNA from 1 species